UGUGACUCUGGCGGUGGCCCUAGGUGUUUUCCGUGGGGCCCGACUGGGAGGGCACCUAGGACAUCUGCAGAGUUUCAGCCUCCCCAGGAGUGACUUAUCCUUUUGCCGUCCACGUGCUGGGCAGGAAGCCUCUGGACACAGUUAAAGGGCUCAGGUGAACCAAUAGCCCUGUGUGUCUUUCUUCCGUGGGGGGCCACGCACCUCAAGCCCGACCAUGACUCGUUGCCCGGAACCAGGAUGACCCCACAGAAGGCCUCCCUGUUACCCUGCCCUGCCUUCAAGCUGCUCCAGAUUCUUAAGGCCUAGCAAGUGUCUCUGUUGGGGGUGUUUUCCAGCCCUUGAGCCUGCCGCCCUGACCCUCCUGGAGCUGAGACCCCUCCCCAGCCCGUGAACCUGGCCAGGAGUGUGUAUUACCACCUUAGCCAGGGAAAUGGCUGUCACUCCGGAGACCGGGAGUCAGCUGGAGUUCUCCUCCUGGGAU
rnacentral:lncRNA from 1 species